AGCACCACAACGGGUGGAGCCUGCGGUUAAUUGGACUCAACGCCGGGCAGCUCACCGGAUAAGACAGCUGGAUGAUAGCCGGGCUGAAGACUCUGCUUGACUAGCUGAGGGAGGUGCAUGGCCGUCGUCAGUUCGUACUGUGAAGCAUCCUGUUAAGUCAGGCAACGAGCGAGACCCACGCCAACAGUUGCCAGCAUGUCCUCCGGGAUGAUGGGGACACUGUUGGGACCGCCUCUGCUAAAGAGGAGGAAGGAAUGGGCAACGGUAGGUCAGCAUGCCCCGAAUUAUCCGGGCUACACGCGGGCUACAAUGGUCAGGACAAUGGGUAUCGACACCGAGAGGUGGAGGCAAUCUCCUAAACCUGUCCUUAGUUCGGAUUGUGGGCUGCAACUCGCCCACAUGAAGCUGGAAUCCGUAGUAAUCGCGUUUCAAAAUAGCGCGGUGAAUAUGUCCCUGCUCCUU
rnacentral:rRNA from 1 species